rnacentral:rRNA from 1 species
GAGGAACACGUGAGAAAUCUGCCUUCAACACUGGGAUAACUCCGGGAAACCGGGGCUAAUACCGGAUAUGAAAUCUGCGGGCAUCCGCGGAUUUGGAAAGUUUUUCGGUUGAAGAUGAUCUCGCGGCCUAUCAGCUUGUUGGUGAGGUAAUGGCUCACCAAGGCGACGACGGGUAGCCGGCCUGAGAGGGCGACCGGCCACACUGGGACUGAGACACGGCCCAGACUCCUACGGGAGGCAGCAGUGGGGAAUAUUGGGCAAUGGAGGAAACUCUGACCCAGCGACGCCGCGUGCGGGAUGAAGGCCUUCGGGUUGUAAACCGCUUUCAGCAGGGAAGAAGCGAAAGUGACGGUACCUGCAGAAGAAGCACCGGCUAACUAUGUGCCAGCAGCCGCGGUAAUACAUAGGGUGCAAGCGUUGUCCGGAAUUAUUGGGCGUAAAGAGCUCGUAGGUGGUUCGUCACGUCGGAUGUGAAACUCUGGGGCUUAACCCCAGACCUGCAUUCGAUACGGGCGAGCUUGAGUAUAGUAGGGGAGUCUGGAAUUCCUGGUGUAGCGGUGGAAUGCGCAGAUAUCAGGAGGAACACCAAUGGCGAAGGCAGGACUCUGGGCCAUUACUGACACUGAGGAGCGAAAGCGUGGGGAGCGAACAGGAUUAGAUACCCUGGUAGUCCACGCCGUAAACGGUGGGGCACUAGUUGUGGGGACCUUCCACGGUCUCUGCGACGCAGCUAACGCAUUAAGUGCCCCGCCUGGGGAGUACGAUCGCAAGAUUAAAACUCAAAGGAAUUGACGGGGCCCCGCACAAGCAGCGGAGCAUGCGGCUUAAUUCGACGCAACGCGAAGAACCUUACCAAGGCUUGACAUAUACAGGAAUAUGGCA